UACGUAGGGUGCAAGCGUUGUCCGGAAUUAUUGGGCGUAAAGAGCUCGUAGGCGGUCUGUCGCGUCGGCUGUGAAAACCCGGGGCUCAACCCCGGGCCUGCAGUCGAUACGGGCAGACUAGAGUGCGGUAGGGGAGACUGGAAUUCCUGGUGUAGCGGUGAAAUGCGCAGAUAUCAGGAGGAACACCAGUGGCGAAGGCGCCACUCUGGGCCGUAACUGACGCUGAGGAGCGAAAGCGUGGGUAGCAAACAGG
rnacentral:rRNA from 1 species